UAGAUUAACUCGAUAUAAAGUUUCCAUCAAAUAACCGCGUGGAAAAUUUGAACCAAACAUAUUAAGUAUUUCUGGUCACACACAAAUUGAAGAAAAACAAGAUACAUGAAAUUGUCAGUUGAUUGACCAUGGCCGCCUCAUUUUUAAAGGACUAUAAUUUUAUAUCUAGUGAAUACGAAGUGAAAAAUAUAAUCUCAUCUUAAAUACGAAGUGCCACUAUGCACUAUUCUCUUACUCUUGGCAUUACAGAUAAAAGAAAGUCCACCCCCGCCAGCUUUUCUCUCUCUUUUCUGAGAAAAAGAUGUUAAAACUACUAAGAAAAUUCAUCCAGUUGAAACAAUAAUCAUAUCAUCAAAUGUCCUGCACUAUCAUGUUGUAAAAGAGAAGAUGUUUCAUGUCACUGUUUAGAAUCUAAGAAAGGCAAACAUAAACCUUAACCACUCUUAGAAUGACCCUGUUGCAUAUUGGCAAAGCCUGAACACGGUUCUAGGAAUUCUCAUCUCUCUGAUUUGCGCCUGUGAACAUCUCUUUCUCUGUGACGACACGACAAUGAAUCCCUACCAUGGGUGGACCAGUUGUCUCCUCUAUUAUCUUGGUCUUCUCUAAGAUGGAAUUCUGAUUCGUGCCUUUUUGAUCUCUUUUCUUCCUUCCAGUCAUCAUCGUCUCUUGACAAUGGCUCAAAUCCAUCAACAUCAUGCCUUCUCAAUCUCCUUUCAUCCCUCUUAUAAUCAUCUUCUCUUGACUUUGGCCCAAAUUGUCCGUCUUCAAGCAUUCCCAAUCUCCUUUCAUCACUCCUAUUCAUAAAAAAAUUUUCUCUUGACUUUGGGUCAAAUUCAUCAUCUCCAUGCCUUCUUGAUCUUUUUUCAUCUCUGUUACGAUGAUCUUCUCUAGACUUCAGCUCAAAUUCAUCGUCUUCAUGCCUUCUCAAUCUCUUUUCAUCUCCUCUAUGAUAAUCUUCUCUUGAUUUCCGCUCAAUUUCACUACCAUCAUGCCUUCUCGAUCUCUUGUCCUCCCUCCUAUCACUCUGUUUAAGGUGGCUCUCUGAAGGCCUCUCACUGUCAGAUCUUUUCUCACUCUUUUUGGAACAUCAAACUUGUCAUGUCCCCCAUCUUGGAGUUUUAUCCUCAGGACCCCAUCCUGUGUUUGCAGCUCUUUGCUCAUCAUGGGAAAAUUUGCAGCCAGCUCCACGAGUACAUUCACCUUUCUGGAAAGCACGGCACACUCCUCGUGCUUCCUUCUUCUGCUGUUGUGUCUCUUCAUCCUCCUCCUCUUUCUUCUUGUACUUAGUAACAUGAUCAACCCUUACAAUUCGACCAGCAACCUCUGCGCCAUUCAGAUUAUCUACAGCAAGAUUUGUACUUCUUUGAUCCUCAUAUGCAAUAAAUGCAAAACCUUUUGAUUUACCAGUAUCCUUGUCUCUAACUAGAUUAACAUCAACAAUCUCCCCA
rnacentral:misc_RNA from 1 species